UACGGAAUGUGCAACCGUUAUUCGGAAUCACUGGGCUUAAAGAGUCCGUAGGCGGCAUGUUAGGUGAGGUGUGAAAUCCCCCGGCUCAACCGAGGAAUUGCGCUUCAAACCGGCGUGCUAGAGGAAGAUAGAGGUGGGCGGAACUGAUGGUGGAGCGGUGAAAUGCGUAGAUAUCUGGAGGAACACCGGUGGCGAAGGCGGCAUCCUGGACCAAUUCUGACGCUGAGUGAGCGAAAGCCAGGGGAGCAAACGGG
rnacentral:rRNA from 1 species